rnacentral:rRNA from 1 species
AGUAAAUUGUGAGAAUCAAUUUAAUUUGAUUUGGUUUUUAAUAAUAUAAAAUAAGCAAGUUUAUUUAAGUAUAUUUUUGUUUUAGUAUAAUUUUUGAAAAUAAUAAGUUAAAUUAUAGUAAAUUAGUAUAGUUAUAGAAAUUUAAUAAUAUAAAAUAAGAAAGAUUAAUUAUUUGUACCUUGUGUGUCAGGGUUUAUUAAUAAAAUACAAUAAAUUUAGUUUUCUCGAUUUUAAAUGAGUUAUUUAUAUAUAAAUUUUAUUAUUAAAUAAAUAUUUGUAAUAUUUAAAUAGUAGUGAAAAGCUAUUCUAAUUUAAAUAUAUCUAGUUUUUAAAGAAAAAAAUUUAAUUUUAUUUAUAUUAAUUUUUAUAUAUUGAAAUAGUUAAAUUUGAUAUAAAUUAUAUUGUUAGGGAUUAGCUUUACAAUAAAUUACUAUAAAUUAAGUUAUAAUUAUAAUUGAAUUAUAGGAUUAAAAAUUUUCAUUGUUUAGAAUGUUAUAAUGAAUUAAUAUAAAUAGAGUGAUUUAGAUUUAAUUUUAGGUUUUUUAUUUAAAAGUUAAAUUUAAUAUAAAAGUUUAAAUUAUAAUGGUAAAAUUAGUAUAGUUAAUAUUAUAUAAUUUAAAUAUAUUAAAGUUUAUAAAAAGGAAUUCGGCAAAAUUAAAAUUUUCCGCCUGUUUAUUAAAAACAUGUCUUUUUGAAAUUAAUUUAAAGUCUAACCUGCCCGUUGAUUUUUAUAUUAAAUGGCCGCAGUAUAUUGACUGUGCAAAGGUAGCAUAAUCAUUAGUUUUUUAAUUAAGAACUGGAAUGAAAGGUUGGACGAGAAAGUAACUGUCUCUUUAUAAUUUUAUAGAAUUUUAUUUUUAAGUUAAAAAGCUUAAAUUUCAUUAAAAGACGAGAAGACCCUAUAGAAUUUUAUAUAUGAAUAGUUUAUAUUUUUAAGUUUAAUUUGAAUAAUUAUAUAAUAUUAUAUAUUGUGUUGGGGUGAUUGGAAAAUUUAAUUAACUUUUUUUUAUUAAUAACAUUGAUUUAUGAUUAUAUGAUCCAUUAAUAAUGAUUAUAAGAUUAAAUUACCUUAGGGAUAACAGCGUAAUUUUUUUUGAGAGUUCUAAUCAAUAAAGAAGUUUGCGACCUCGAUGUUGGAUUAAAGUUUAAUUUUGGUGUAGAAGCUAAAAGUUUAAGUCUGUUCGACUUUUAAAAUUUUACAUGAUCUGAGUUUAAACCGGUGUGAGCCAGGUUGGUUUCUAUCUUUAAUAGAAUGUUAAUAUUUUAGUACGAAAGGACCAGAUAUAAUUAAUAUUUAAUUUUAUUAUUUGAAUAUCAGUAAUUGAAUUAUUUUGGCAGAAUAGUGCAUUAAAUUUAGAAUUUAAGUAUGU